rnacentral:rRNA from 1 species
GACGAACGCUGGCGGCGUGCUUAACACAUGCAAGUCGAACGGAAAGGCCCUGCUUUUGUGGGGUGCUCGAGUGGCGAACGGGUGAGUAACACGUGAGUAACCUGCCCUUGACUUUGGGAUAACUUCAGGAAACUGGGGCUAAUACCGGAUAGGAGCUCCUGCUGCAUGGUGGGGGUUGGAAAGUUUCGGCGGUUGGGGAUGGACUCGCGGCUUAUCAGCUUGUUGGUGGGGUAGUGGCUUACCAAGGCUUUGACGGGUAGCCGGCCUGAGAGGGUGACCGGCCACAUUGGGACUGAGGUACCGCCCAGACUCCUACGGGCGGCAGCAGUGGGGAAUAUUGCACAAUGGGCGGACGCCUGAUGCAGCAACGCCGCGUGCGGGAUGACGGCCUUCGGGUUGUAAACCGCUUUCGCCUGUGACGAAGCGUGAGUGACGGUAAUGGGUAAAGAAGCACCGGCUAACUACGUG